GAUGAACGCUGGCGGCGUGCCUAAUACAUGCAAGUCGAGCGAACAGAUAAGGAGCUUGCUCCUUUGACGUUAGCGGCGGACGGGUGAGUAACACGUGGGUAACCUACCUAUAAGACUGGAAUAACUCCGGGAAACCGGGGCUAAUGCCGGAUAACAUUUAGAACCGCAUGGUUCUAAAGUGAAAGAUGGUUUUGCUAUCACUUAUAGAUGGACCCGCGCCGUAUUAGCUAGUUGGUAAGGUAACGGCUUACCAAGGCAACGAUACGUAGCCGACCUGAGAGGGGGAGCGGCCACACUAGACCUGAGCCGCGGUACAGACCCGUCCGGGAGGGAGGGGAGGGGAGAGGUACGCAAUGGGAGAAGGGCAAGCGGGGAACAGCCGAGUGGGGGACAAGAGGCUGCGGCUCUGAAAUCUCUGUUAUUUGGAAGGGACGAAUGUGUAGGUAACUGGGCGGGUCUUGACGGUACCGAAUGAAUAAGCCACGGCUAACUACGUG
rnacentral:rRNA from 1 species